GGCCGUCACAGGGUUCGAACCCUGGACUACCGGUUCGGUGGUCUAGUAGCUUAGCCACUAGUCCAUCCCGAC